GCAGCUCGGGCCGGAGCUCUCUCCCGGCCUGCAGCGCCUGCCCCGCUCCGAGGCUGAGCCCUGCUCCGUGCCCUGGGCUUGCUCCGCUCCGAAUGCGUUUGAAAGGCUUUUCUGAAAGACUCGCGUCGAUGUGAAGUAGCGCUGUGUUUAAAAACGCUGAUAAAAAUCCACGCGGGAAAAGGAGCGGUGAGCAGGUUUUACAGCGUGCUGGGUGCGUUGAGGAUCUCUCUACCUUAAGCGAAGCACAAAUUCAGGUCUCAAAGGGUCGGAAAGCUGCUUGUAAACCAGGAUCUCUUCUUUAAAUACGCGUGAUCCGCAGUCUCCCGAGAGAAGGUGACCCCUGCAUGCCGGGCUGCAGAGUGACCAGGACCCAGACAGAAGCUGGUGUCCUCCUGACACACGAAGGAGCCUGGAAUCCACAGACAUGUUAAACUACAGGAAUACUUGCAUGCCUUUUACUCUUCUGAAGCAGGACCCCCAUUCAGUCUUUUUAGAAACGAUCCCUCGAAUUGUAUCAACAAUCUGUGGUUUAAGCUCGAGGAAGGGCGUCAUUUCUUGGAGCCCCUAGGGGAACGGUGAAGUUUCAAAGAUCUUUCAGCAGCUUUUGCUGGUCCUCUCCGAGAAGAGAGAUAUUGAAAACAUUCAUAGCACCCAAAAUUGUGAAUAAAAUAUGCAAUAUUUUGUGAAAUAAAAAUUGUGAAUAAAACAUGGGGGUUUGUGCCCUCUAGGUACUCACCACCAUGCUAAGAAUAAAGAACUCGGUAAUGUUAUCAACAUCAGCUCAGGAUGCCAUGUAAGAUAUGGUACCAGGAUGCUGACAGGUGGUGAUACAGCUCUACCUUGCACAUUUUAUUUUAUGCCUGACAUGGUUCUCAGGGAAGCUUUUGCACUUAGAUCACCAGCCUCUUUGCUUGAUAUUUUAACAAGUAUCUUCUCAGAUCUAGCUUUUCUGAACUUCUGAUAUAUGAUUUUUUCUUAGUAGCUAUGUGAACCUCAGUCACUGCUGUCUAAUACAGACCAACAUCACACUUAAAAAGACAGUUAAAAAGGAUAGAAUCUUAAAAUCACAGAGUGACUUGUGUUGGAAGGGACCUUAAAGAUAAUCUAGUUCCAGCCUCUCGAGGAAGUUGCCUGGCUGCUCCCAGCUGAGAGCUUUCUUAGGUGAAAAAGGAGGGGUAAAGUCUUUGUUUCCCAGUAACAGUGGCAGGAAUGUUAGAAUCAGAAUUUUUUUCUCAUUUAACUACAAAUAAUUAGUUGUGAUUGUACAGAUUCUUAGUAGGAGGUAAGAAAGCCCCGAUACCCGUGAUAGCUGCCAUACCUCUUGUGAGAGUCUAGGUGAACCCUUUAACCUUUCAGGACAAGCUUUGUGCUGAUGAUUUCAGCAAAGUAUCAAAGCCUGUCGUCCGUGAGAAAAAGAGUUUAAUUUCCAAAGGCUUUUUGCUUUAGAUGUGGACAUCUGAAGAAUUUCUGCUACAAUUUCUGGUAUCUUCAAAUUACCAGAAGUGUGCUAGAAUUUGAUCUGAGGACAAGGACGUCUUUGAUCACCACAAAACUUCGAUUUGGUGGAUCAUGGAGGAGUGCAACACUUGCAAAAUGCAGUUGUAGAGUAGCACACAAGGGACUGCUGGGUGUCCAAGGGAAUUAGGGGAUUAUUGGCUGAUGCUACCACUGCCCAAGUGUCUGGGGAAAUCUUGUUCGAGCCAAUUAAUAACAAAGAAAUGAAGCUGCCCAAGGACAAAGAGGAGGGCAAGACAGAGAGGAGCUACCUUCACAUUAGCAAGCCCACAACUCAUGAAUUUUCAGAGAUACAAAGGAAGGCAGGCCAGUGGUUCAGAAGCCAGGUGAUGUUCCCAGGUGUCUCUUCCUCUUCCAGGUAGAAGUGACAAGGUCAGCUGCCCCAGUUUGCUGUGGUGAAAAGACCUCAGUGAAUUUCCUUGGUGGAAAUUCACCAAGGGGAAAAUGGAUGGGUUUCGUAUGCUGUUGAUUUGUGAAAAGCAUCCCAGCAAUCAGUAUGAACAGUCAGGAUUUUUGCACAUCAGGAUCAAUUUGUGGUUGCCCAGAGGCUGUGGAAGCAAGUCAAUAUCAGAAUGGUAGCUGGUGUAAGUAGCUAAGGUAAAAUUGAAGCUGAGAGCUCUGGCUAGGUAAGGGAGAGGCAAUUCAGUUACUUGGUCAUGCCUUCAGCUACAGUCCAAUUUUAGAAUAACAGUACAUCUUUUGCAGUUGAAGAAUAGGCAUCUUAACAACAAUCACAUAUUCGCUGUAAUGUGUCUUGAAAGCAUUACAUGUCCUUUUCAUAGGAUUCCCUUUCCCCACUACCUUGCCAGCUGCAUUAGAUUAGGAGCAGGAAGGAGCAGCAGCUAGCAGAGGUGAAGGCAUCAAGUGUCUUCUAGCAGUGGAGGCAAGAAGGGGAAUUUGUAAGGUGCAGCUAUUUUUCAGAGUGGGGUGAUGAAG